rnacentral:rRNA from 1 species
UGGGGAAUAUUGGACAUUGGGCGCAAGCCUGAUCCAGCCAUGCCGCGUGUGUGAAGAAGGCCUUUUGGUUGUAAAGCACUUUAAGCGAGGAGGAGGCUACUUGGAUUAAUACUCUAAGAUAGUGGUCGUUACUCGCAGAAUAAGCACCGGCUAACUCUGUGCCAGCAGCCGCGGUAAUACAGAGGUUGCGAGCGUUAAUCGGAUUUACUGGGCGUAAAGCGUGCGUAGGCGGCUUCUUAAGUCGGAUGUGAAAUCCCUGGGCUUAACUUAGGAAUUGCAUUCGAUACUGGGAAGCUAGAGUAUGGGAGAGGAUGGUAGAAUUCCAGGUGGAGCGGGGAAAUGCGUAGAGAUAUGGAGGAAUACAGAUGGCGAAGGCAGCCAUCUGGCCUAAUACUGACGCUGAGGUACGAAAGAAGGGGGAGCAAACAGG